rnacentral:rRNA from 1 species
AACCUAGAUGUAAUAUUACAUAUACAUCCGCCCGGGUACUACGAGCACAGCUUAAAACCCAAAGGACUUGGCGGUGUCUCAGACCCACCUAGAGGAGCCUGUUCUAGAACCGAUAACCCCCGUUAAACCUCACCACUUCUUGUUUUCCCCGCCUAUAUACCGCCGUCGCCAGCUUACCCUGUGAAGGCCUAGCAGUAAGCAAAAUGGGCUCGCCCAAAAACGUCAGGUCGAGGUGUAGCGCACGAAGUGGGAAGAAAUGGGCUACAUUUUCUGCAGCAGAAUACUACGGACGGCACCCUGAAACAAGUGCCCGAAGGUGGAUUUAGUAGUAAAAAGCAAAUAGAGAGUCCUUUUGAAUUAGGCUCUGAGACGCGCACACACCGCCCGUCACUCUCCCCUCACAUAUUAAACCAAAACCCAACAUCCCUAAUUAAACAUUUCCUAGCACGGGGAGGCAAGUCGUAACAUGGUAAGUGUACCGGAAGGUGCACUUGGAAUAAU